UACGGGAGGCAGCAGUGGGGAAUAUUGCACAAUGGGCGCAAGUCUGAUGCAGCCAUGCCGCGUGUAUGAAGAAGGCCUUCGGGUUGUAAAGUACUUUCAGCGGGGAGGAAGGCGAUGCGGUUAAUAACCGCGUCGAUUGACGUUACCCGCAGAAGAAGCACCGGCUAACUCCGUGCCAGCAGCCGCGGUAAUACGGAGGGUGCAAGCGUUAAUCGGAAUUACUGGGCGUAAAGCGCACGCAGGCGGUCUGUUAAGUCAGAUGUGAAAUCCCCGGGCUUAACCUGGGAACUGCAUUUUGAAACUGGCAGGCUUGAGUCUUGUAGAGGGGGUAGAAUUCCAGGUGUAGCGGUGAAAUGCGUAGAGAUCUGGAGGAAUACCGGUGGCGAAGGCGGCCCCUGGGACAAAGACUGACGCUCAGGUGCGAAAGCGUGGGGAGCAAACAGGAUUAGAUACC
rnacentral:rRNA from 1 species